GCCCGGGUGGCGGAACUGGUAGACGCAAGGGACUUAAAAUCCCUCGGACUGUAAAGUCCGUGCCGGUUCGACUCCGGCCCCGGGCACCA
rnacentral:tRNA from 1 species